GAGCACAGAUCCUUUCUGCUGCUAAAGAACUGGGACACCUUUCCAAACUGAAGGAUCACAUGGCAGGAGACGCUAAAAGCCUGACGCCCAGGCAGUGUGCCGUCAUGGAUGUGGCUCUGGAUACCAUCAAGCAAUACUUUCAUGCGGGCGGGAACGGCUUGAAGAAGACUUUCCUGGAGAAGAG